UACGGGGGGGGCAAGCGUUGUUCGGAAUUACUGGGCGUAAAGGGCUCGUAGGCGGCCAACUAAGUCAGACGUGAAAUCCCUCGGCUUAACCGGGGAACUGCGUCUGAUACUGGAUGGCUAGAGAUUGGGAGAGGGAUGCGGAAUUCCAGGUGUAGCGGUGAAAUGCGUAGAUAUCUGGAGGAACACCGAAGGCGAAGGCAGGUGACUGGACCGUUAUUGACGCUGAGUCGCGAAAGCCGGGGGAGCAAACAGG
rnacentral:rRNA from 1 species